UCAUAUAUUUCUUGAUCAUAUGAUUUUGAUAUUACUACCAACAUCGUACGACGUAAAAUCAAAAGUACAAAAAACACAUAUAUGUAUAUAUAUUUGCACCCCCAGUUGCCUGGAGAGCACAUAUGUGAUGCACACUAAAAUAUGCACCAACACGAUUCGUUAAUGAUCCUUCCGCAGGUUCACCUACGGAAA
rnacentral:misc_RNA from 1 species